CUGUAAUUCCAAUCGUCUGGACUGGGAAGUUCCCGGUAAAUCCAGAAAGCAGAACCUGUGAGAAUUGAUUUAAAGCCAGGAUCGAAUCCGUAUGUCUCCACAGCUGGACCCUUAGAAUUGGACGUAGCAGCGCAUCCCUUCCGACCAGGAGAUUGAAUAUAUAUAAAAUCACUGAGAAGUGGAAAGGACCUGAUCGAGUCAUUUUAACAACACUUAUAGCAGUAAAGGUCUGGGAGAAGAACCUUGGCUUCAUUAUUCAAGAAUAAAGAAAGCACCAACAGGAAAUUGGAAGUCUAAAGAAACUGGCCCUUUGAAAUUGAAAAUCUAUAAGUAAGUUUCACGUCAUCUAUUUGGGAAAACAAUUGUGUAAAGUUUAUAAUAUUGGGGUUGCUAUUAGGAAUAUUGUCAAGGGCAGUAAUCUUUUUGUGUGUUAUAGGGUUUAAGUAUUUUUUUUGAGGGGUUCUAAACAUAAGAUAAACAAAAUGAAACAAUUAUUGUUUGCGCUAUUAAUCUUGAUAUUAACUGUUUUUGUAAUUUUGAUUAAGAAAAAAAAAUCUAGUUUUGUAAUUGAUUCAAAGUUUUGUAAAGACACAAAAUUUAACCUCAACAACAGCCUGCCUUCCAAUUCCAAAGUCAGAUGAAAAUCUAGUUCCAUGGAGAAUACUGACAUUGAAUUUAACCAAAACUUGAGAAAAGAGGUAGAACAAUGAGAAUCAUUUUAGCAAAUUAAAUUGGAUGGAUUUAAAAGGCAAUUAUUUUUUUAAAUUUGAAAGAAGGAAUUCUAGCAUUUUGAAUUAUAACAUUACCAAACCAUCCACCUCAUGGACAAAAGCAUUAAUUUAUCGCCCUUCGGGAGAAACUUGUACAAACACCCCUUGGGGCUGUCAGUUGCCAAAACCGUAGAGACAAGUGCAAAAAGGAACUUGGGAUCACAUUUAAAAUCUAAAACGAGGUUUAGAAUUUACUGGAGUUCCAGGAUCCUUGUUAGAUCCACCCAGAGACAGGACCAUCUAUGGAAAUUUAGAUUGGUUUAGACAAACAAGAGAAAAAUCACACAGCCUAAACAGAACGGUGUGAAAAUUUAUACUUGCAGCUCCUGUGACCCCCAAAUCCAAAGACUUUCUCUAGUAGCUAAAGCUCUAAGAUGGGGAUGCAUUUGUAGAAAGUAUAAUAAUAUUUGAAAUGAUGUUUGGUCCCCUCUUAAUAAUGGAAAAAAUUUAGCUUGGAAUUGACUGUAUUAAAGGACAGGUGAAAAGUUUAGGGUUAACUGUUUGGGUGAAUAGUGAUGAUAUAUGAUGCACUCACCUUUUCAUGAAGGACAAAAGCAAAUAAUGGACUUUAGACUUAAUAACUCUAUCCUCUCUCUGGAAGAAAUCUCCCUUGUGGCCUCAAUGGUGGACCUGGGUAAAUCGAAAAGAUGAUACCUGGCAAUUGCCAAGUCUUAGAACUAAAAUAAGAUGGGUAUUAAAAAUCUGUAUUUUUACCCCAGUUAACAACUCUUCAAAAUAAGAUGACUCUCGACAUCUUUCAUUCAAUAAAUGAAGUGCCUGCUUCUUAACUUC